rnacentral:rRNA from 1 species
CCUACGGGUGGCAGCAGUGAGGAAUAUUGGACAAUGGGCGCGAGCCUGAUCCAGCCAAGUCGCGUGAGGGAGGACGGCCCUACGGGUUGUAAACCUCUUCUGCCGGGGAGCAACGGGCGUCACGUGUGGCGCCACUGAGAGUACCCGGAGAAAAAGCAUCGGCUAACUCCGUGCCAGCAGCCGCGGUAAUACGGAGGAUGCGAGCGUUAUCCGGACUUAUUGGGUGUAAAGGGAGCGUAGGCGGGAAGCCAAGUCAGCUGUGAAAACUACGGGCUUAACCUGUAGACUGCAGUUGAAACUGGCUUUCUUGAGUGAAGUAGAGGUUGGCAGAAUUCCGGGUGUAGCGGUGAAAUGCGUAGAUAUUCGGAGGAACACCGGUGGCGAAGGCGGCCAACUGGGCUUUAACUGACGCUGAGGCUCGAAAGUGUGGGGAGCAAACAGGAUUAGAUACCCCGGUAGUC